rnacentral:rRNA from 1 species
GACGAACGCUGGCGGCGUGCUUAACACAUGCAAGUCGAACGGAAAGGCCCUGCUUUUGUGGGUUGCUCGAGUGGCGAAGGGGUGAGUAACACGUGAGUAACCUGCCCUGGACUUUGGGUUAACUUCAGGAAACUGGGGCUAAUACCGGAUAGGAGCUCCUGCUGCAUGGUGGGGGUUGGAAAGUUUCGGCGGUUGGGGAUGGACUCGGGGCUUAUCAGCUUGUUGGUGGGGUAGUGGCUUACCAAGGCUUUGACGGGUAGCCGGCCUGAGAGGGUGACCGGCCACAUUGGGACUGAGAUACGGCCCAGACUCCUACGGGAGGCAGCAGUGGGGAAUAUUGCACAAUGGGCGGAAGCCUGAUGCAGCAACGCCGCGUGCGGGAUGACGGCCUUCGGGUUGUAAACCGCUUUCGCCUGUGACGAAGCGUGAGUGACGGUAAUGGGUAAAGAAGCACCGGCUAACUACGUG